GUACAUGCCUAUAGCAUAAAGUUAAUACAUUGGAUCCCAUUAGAACUACGUAGUUAAGUGCACUCAUUCUAGAGUAGUACUGGGAUGGGUGACUGCCCGGGAAGUCCUGGUGUCUUACAUG
rnacentral:rRNA from 1 species